UACGGAGGGUGCGAGCGUUGUCCGGAUUUAUUGGGGUUAAAGGGUGCGUAGGCGGCCCCGUAAGUCGGCGGUGAAACCCACGGGCUCAACCCGUGGCGUGCCGACGAUACUGCGGGGCUUGGGUCGUCUCUGGGCGGGCGGAAUGGAAGGUGUAGCGGUGAAAUGCAUAGAUAUCGGAAGGAACAUCAGUGGCGAAAGCGACUUCCUGGACCAGUACCGACGUUCAGGCACGAAAGCGUGGGGAGCAAACAGG
rnacentral:rRNA from 1 species